CCCUCGCCGCCGCCGGAAUAGAAACCUUCCUCUUCGAACGGAACAACUCUUCCACUCCCAAGCCAUGCGGUGGAGCCAUCCCGCUAUGUAUGCUCGACGAGUUCUCCAUCCCUCUCCACCUCGUCGACCGCCGCGUCACCAAGAAGAAGAUCAUUUAUCCUAAGAUGAAGAUCAUUUCUCCUUCCAAUCUCGCCGUCGAUUUCGGCUCCAAAACCCUGGAGCAGCACGAGUACAUCCCCAUGCUCCGCCGUGAGGUACUCGAUUCCUUCCUCCGAUCCCGCGCCCAAUCCAACGGUGCU
rnacentral:lncRNA from 1 species